AAUAAAAUCUUUUUAAAAAAAUAAAAUGGGGAUGAUGAAAAAUAAAAUUUAAAAAAUGGAGAUGAUAGUAGUGCCUUAGUAAUUGUGAAUGGUACAUACAGGUAAAGAAAUGAGAAUAUGAUGCUAUGUAGGUCAUACUGCGUGUCAAAUGUUAGUCUAGGCACUAUAUUGAUAGUCAUUAAUUUAAUCCUAAUUCCAAGAGGUGGGCCUUAUCAUUCUCCAUUUUAUAGAUGUGGAAGUUGAGGCUCAUAGAGGUGAAGUAACAUAUUCAAGGCCGUUAUAGCUAGGAGAUGACAGAGCUAGGGUCUGGCUGGAAAACCCAAACUCUUAGCCACUAAUAGCUCUAAUAGCUCUUCUUAAAAGUAGCGCCUGGAGCACAGUAGGCAGUAAGGUAAGUGGCUUAUUAUCUCCCCACCCCACCCCCGCCUCCCGCCUUUUAAAAUUUCUGCCCCUGGGUUAAACAGGAACGAUUUUUUUUUUCCCAGCGGGAUCAAGACCACAGGCAUGGAAAACUAGAACUGCUCACCUGCGCCACCCAGUGGGGAGACUGAUGGUGACCACUUCCAAGUUGAAUUUUUCUUUUUUCCAAUUUGAAUUAACAUCCUGCCUCCCCACCUCCCUCCGUAAGGAUUUUAGCCAUUAUCUAUCAGUCUAUAUAGGAGCAGAGAUGAGAGGGAGAACAAAUGUCUCCGCACACCCAAAGCUGAGGAUUCGGUGGGAUGAAGAAGCGAGAGGGUUUGGACAGUGGAAUUAGGACUGAGGAAUGCAGAUAGGAAUGGGGCCCCAAAGACCCUGACUUGUCGCCAUGGCUCUCACCAGCUGAGAAAGGCAUGAAGGCUGGGCUCUUCUUGAAAGACUGAUUGGCAUCCAGAAAAUGCUCGGGGUUGAAUUCCUGGGGCGUCAGGAACUGGUUGGGGUCAUAGUGGACUGUGUUAAGAAGGGUGAUGAUAUCUGUGCCCUGUGUGGGUGGGGAGGCAGGAUCAGUACGGUAGAAGAUCUAGGAGAUUCUCAAGCUGAAAUCUCCACCCCACAGGGCUGGAGGUCCCAGGGACUUGAUAAUGAAUGGGGCGUGGAGCAUAGGACUCCAGCGGGGAUUCAGGAAACGUGUGUCCCUGUCUGGGGUCCCAAGUGAUGGGUGCUGGAAGCUGUGUUGACAGGGAUGGGAGCUACCUCUCUUGUCAGAGCAGAUUUGGGGUUUCUGGGAAUAGGGAGUGUUCUUUCAGAACAGUGUUUAGGCACAGGGGUUCCCCAGGAUGAAGUCUUGGGGAUGCUGGAGAGAGAUCCUGGGAAGUGGAACUGUCAUGAGGAAGGGGUCUGGGGUUCAGGUCAGGAUCCAGUCCAUUAUAGUACUGAAUAGGGUCCUGGGAAGGGGCUGCGGUUCUGGAUUUAAGAGCCUCAGAUGUUUGUUGCUAGGGGCUUGGGAUGCCGAUCACUAAGGCCCGGGGUACUGAUUGCUAGGGCCGGGGAUCCUCCUUGCUAGAGACGCGCAUGCCAUUCGCCAGUCUGGGAUGCCUCUUCCUAGUGCCCCAGACGUCCGUUGCCAGGUGCCCAGCACACCUUGGGUAGCAGGAAGCCGCGAAAGGGUGUGUCCCGAAUGACGCGGUGCGGCAAGUUCAUGGGGAUGACGUCGGCGAAGCGCUGCACCUCGUGGAUCACCGCAUCCGUGUAAGGCAUGGCCGCUCGGUCCUCCAGCGCCGGCAGCCGCGCGCGUCCCACCACGCGGUCGAUCUCCUCCUGGACGCGGGCUGCAGAUGCAGGGAGAUCAUUCUCAAACCUGCUCAGCUCGGGAUCCGCGUUGGUUUGAGGAGGGGGCAGCAGGUCAGACCAGAGACGACACUUCCAGGCCAGGCUUACUUGUGCCAUUUUGUUGAGGAAACAAUCAAUGAAGUCCCGGGGACAGCGGGGAUCGAGGGAGUCCUGGUGGUCGCGGACGCUGCGGGCGAUGAGGUCUUUCAUGCACCCAAAGUUCUGGAAAAGGCGCCGGUGUGGCCCAGGACAAGAUGAACCCCAACCCCCAACUCCGUCCCGCCAGAGCUAGGCCUCCUGACCUCUCCCCAGGGGCCGCUCAUGAUUUGGAAGUUGUCAUUAAUGAGGCGGAUAAUGGUGAGCAGACGCUCAUCAUCGUAGUCAAAGCGGCUGCCGAAGAUCACCGAGCAGAUGAUGUUGGACACGGAGCGGCUGAGCACAAACGUGGGGUCGAAGGGCUUGCCUGAGAGCGAGGGGCAGAGUGGGUCAGAGGGUGCAUUGGGCAACACACCAGACCCCGUGCGGCAACAGCGCUAGAGGGCACAACACCCUGCCCAACAAUGACAGUGUGACUUGCAGCACAGAUGGUCACGGCCAUCUAACAUCUAACACCCCAGGUGCUACUGCAUGUUAGAUGUACUUGGCAACACGCCAGGCAGGACAGAACCCACAACAUCCUGUCCUGGUGGACAACACCACUGAACAACAGAACAGACUGUUCUUUACUGUAGGACACACAGCACACACCAAACAAUGUGCACGCAACAUACAACACAAUAUAAUAUCCCAUCAGCGCCUGAUAACACUACAACCUCACCCAGUAAUGGCACAGCAACACAACAUCUAACACCCAAUGAUCUGAAGACUGAACAGACCACAGAAAAUAACAAGUUAGCCAUUAUAACGACAGCUUGGGCCAGGAAACUGAGUCUGGAAUUAGAGAGACGUAGUUUGGA